rnacentral:rRNA from 1 species
UACGAAGGGGGCUAGCGUUGUUCGGAUUUACUGGGCGUAAAGCGCACGUAGGCGGUUUGUUAAGUCAGGGGUGAAAUCCCGGAGCUCAACUCCGGAACUGCCUUUGAUACUGGCAAGCUAGAGUCCGGAAGAGGUAAGUGGAACUCCUAGUGUAGAGGUGGAAUUCGUAGAUAUUAGGAAGAACACCAGUGGCGAAGGCGGCUCACUGGUCCGGUACUGACGCUGAGGUGCGAAAGCGUGGGGAGCAAACAGG